GGGACUAUAGUAUAGUUGGUAGAAUAUCUGUUUUGCACACAGGUGACGUCGGUUCGAAGCCGACUAGUUCCA
rnacentral:tRNA from 1 species